CUACGGGUGGCACCAGUGAGGAAUAUUGGUCAAUGGUCGCAAGACUGAACCAGCCAUGCCGCGUGCAGGAAGACGGUCCUAUGGAUUGUAAACUGCUUUUAUACAGGAAGAAACCCUCCCACGUGUGGGAGCUUGACGGUACUGUAGGAAUAAGGAUCGGCUAACUCCGUGCCAGCAGCCGCGGUAAUACGGAGGAUCCAAGCGUUAUCCGGAAUCAUUGGGUUUAAAGGGUCCGUAGGCGGCCUUAUAAGUCAGUGGUGAAAGCCCAUCGCUCAACGAUGGAACUGCCAUUGAUACUGUAAGGCUUGAAUUUUUGUGAAGUAACUAGAAUAUGUAGUGUAGCGGUGAAAUGCUUAGAUAUUACAUGGAAUACCAAUUGCGAAGGCAGGUUACUAACAAACGAUUGACGCUGAUGGACGAAAGCGUGGGGAGCGAACAGGAUUAGAUACCCCGGUAGUC
rnacentral:rRNA from 1 species